rnacentral:rRNA from 1 species
CUACGGGGGGCUGCAGUGGGGAAUAUUGGGCAAUGCCCGAAAGGGUGACCCAGCAACGCCGCGUGGAGGAUGAAUGUCGUAAGAUUGUAAACUCCUGUUAGAGGGGAAGAACGAUCCCGAUCGAAUCGGGACAUGACUGUACCCUCAGAGAAAGCUCCGGCUAACUACGUGCCAGCAGCCGCGGUAAUACGUAGGGAGCAAGCGUUGUCCGGAUUUACUGGGUGUAAAGGGCGCGUAGGCGGGUUGGUAAGUCAGUGGUGAAAUCCUACAGCUUAACUGUAGAACUGCCUUUGAUACUGCCAAUCUUGAGGACGGAAGAGAGAGACGGAAUUCCAGGUGUAGUGGUGAAAUACGUAGAUAUCUGGAAGAACACCAUUGGCGAAGGCGGUCUCUUGGUCCGAUACUGACGCUCAGGCGCGAAAGCGUGGGGAGCAAACAGGAUUAGAUACCCUCGUAGUC